CCUACGGGAGGCAGCAGUGGGGAAUUUUGGACAAUGGGCGAAAGCCUGAUCCAGCAAUGCCGCGUGUGGGAAGAAGGCCUUCGGGUUGUAAACCACUUUUGUACGGAACGAAACGGUUCGCUUUAAUACAGUGGGCUAAUGACGGUACCGUAAGAAUAAGCACCGGCUAACUACGUGCCAGCAGCCGCGGUAAUACGUAGGGUGCGAGCGUUAAUCGGAAUUACUGGGCGUAAAGCGUGCGCAGGCGGUUAUAUAAGACAGUUGUGAAAUCCCCGGGCUCAACCUGGGAAUUGCAUCUGUGACUGUAUAGCUAGAGUACGGUAGAGGGGGAUGGAAUUCCGCGUGUAGCAGUGAAAUGCGUAGAUAUGCGGAGGAACACCGAUGGCGAAGGCAAUCCCCUGGACCUGUACUGACGCUCAUGCACGAAAGCGUGGGGAGCAAACAGGAUUAGAUACCCUGGUAGUCCACGCCCUAAACGAUGUCAACUGGUUGUUGGGUGCAUUAGUACUCAGUAACGAAGCUAACGCGUGAAGUUGACCGCCUGGGGAGUACGGCCGCAAGGUUGAAAACUCAAAUGAAUUGACGGCGNGAGAGNGCGAGACGACGACGAGGGAGGAGG
rnacentral:rRNA from 1 species